rnacentral:rRNA from 1 species
AGUGAACGCUGGCGGUAGGCCUAACACAUGCAAGUCGAACGGCAGCACAGUAAGAGCUUGCUCUUACGGGUGGCGAGUGGCGGACGGGUGAGGAAUACAUCGGAAUCUACUUUUUCGUAGGGGAUAACGUAGGGAAACUUACGCUAAUACCGCAUACGACCUACGGGUGAAAGCAGGGGAUCUUCGGACCUUGCGCGAUUGAAUGAGCCGAUGUCGGAUUAGCUAGUUGGCGGGGUAAAGGCCCACCAAGGCGACGCUCCGUAGCUGGUCUGAGAGGAUGAUCAGCCACACUGGAACUGAGACACGGUCCAGACUCCUACGGGAGGCAGCAGUGGGGAAUAUUGGACAAUGGGCGCAAGCCUGAUCCAGCCAUACCGCGUGGGUGAAGAAGGCCUUCGGGUUGUAAAGCCCUUUUGUUGGGAAAGAAAAGCAGCAGGUUAAUACCCCGCUGUCCUGACGGUACCCAAAGAAUAAGCACCGGCUAACUUCGUG